rnacentral:rRNA from 1 species
AUGAAUGUCUAUCUUGUUCAUUCUGCUAUUAUACAUGCUAGUGCUGGAGUAAAUAGUUACAUGGCUCCAAUGUUGGUAGUUAUGAGGGAGAAAUUCAUGAAAUAUUGGUCUGACUAUAGCAUAUUUCUGUCUUGUGCUGCUGUUCUUGAUCCCCGCAUUAAGUUCAAGUUUUUAGGAUAUGCCUACUCCAAGCUAUAUGAUGGUGAUGAUGCCCUUCAGCGCAUUAAUCUUGUUAAAACUACAAUGACUUCUUUAUUUAAUGAGUAUGGUAGUGGUGUACAUGUCAAUGAAAACUUAGCAACAAGUGCAUCAUCAAGCACGUGUGGACUUGGUGCCUUUUCUGACUAUGAUCAGUACGUGGAAAGCACGAGCUCACAUGAAGAGAGAUCUGAAUUGGAAUUGUAUUUGGCUGAACCUGCGAAGAGGUUGAAUGAAAAUGUCAAUAUCUUGGAUUUCCGGAGUAAGUCUGCAGCUAGGUAUCCGCAACUAGCAAGAAUGGCACGUGAUAUCCUUGCAGUUCCUGUGUCAAGUGUUGCUUCAGAAUCCGCUUUCAGCUUGAGUAAGAAGGUUAUAACCCCGAACCGAAACUCACUUAAACCAAAGACGGUUGAGGCCCUAAUGUGUUUGCAAGAUUGGUAUCGUUGCAAACUGCAGAAAAAAGAAGAUAAUAAGAGAAAGGCAGAAGAAGUGAUUGCGCUAGAUAAUGAUGAAGAUUCAUCUUCGGAUGAAGAAUAG